rnacentral:rRNA from 1 species
UACGGGGGGAGCAAGCGUUGUUCGGAUUUACUGGGCGUAAAGGGCGCGUAGGCGGCGUAACAAGUCACUUGUGAAAUCCCCGGGCUUAACCUGGGAAUGGCAUUUGGGACUGCAAGGCUGGAGUGCGGCAGAGGAGACUGGAAUUCCUGGUGUAGCAGUGAAAUGCGUAGAUAUCAGGAGGAACACCGAUGGCGAAGGCAGGUCUCUGGGCUGACACUGACGCUCAUGCACGAAAGCGUGGGGAGCAAACAGG